UACGGGGGGGGCAAGCGUUGUUCGGAAUUACUGGGCGUAAAGGGCUCGUAGGCGGCCAACUAAGUCAGACGUGAAAUCCCUCGGCUUAACCGGGGAACUGCGUCUGAUACUGGAUGGCUUGAGUUCGGGAGAGGGAUGCGGAAUUCCAGGUGUAGCGGUGAAAUGCGUAGAUAUCUGGAGGAACACCGAUGGCGAAGGCGGCAUCCUGGACCGGCACUGACGCUGAGGAGCGAAAGCCAGGGGAGCAAACGGG
rnacentral:rRNA from 1 species